GAGAAUAACAUGAUCCAUAGUAGGUUUAAAUCUUAAAGUAAAAGGGUACGUAUAGACAAAAGAAAAUCUGGUUAAGUAGAAGGCAACUCUUUGAUUCAGGUUGAGAAUAAUGAUAGGAAAGUCAUGAUCCCAAUGGCAGUCUCUACAAACUAGAGAAAUCAAACCUUCAGUGGUUUGAGUGGGAUAAAUAUCAGCACGAUCUAAAGAAGAUACUUG
rnacentral:lncRNA from 1 species